UAGACAUGCUACUUAACUUCUCUGACUAUCAUGUUUUCAUCCUUAUGAAGUUAACUGCAGUGGGACACUGGAGUACAAGUUUCACCAGAUGGUCCUACAGCAAGAGUGGAGUUCAUGAACUGUACUGAGCUCAAGGUUCCUGUCUCGAGUUCCCUGCCUUGACGUUCCUCAAUGAUGGACGUAACCCAUGAGCCAAAUAAACUCUUUCCUCCUACAAGUUGCUUUAUGUCAGAGUUUUAUCACAGCCACAUAAAAGCAGAGUGGAACAUCUAGGAUACCAAGUGUGUUCUCUCAAAUCCCCAGAAUUCUGCAUCAGCUGCCAUCCACCACAGAUGAUAAAAGAAUAAUGAAAAAUGCAAGUUCCUGUUUUGUGCCUGAGUGAAUAAAUGCUACCAAACAUUCUGAUUGUAA